rnacentral:pre_miRNA from 1 species
UUAAGGAAUUUGAAGACUUCAACUUGCAGACUAGAAGAAUUUGAGGACCUCAACCUGCAGACUUGGAGGACUUUGAAGACUUUAAUU